rnacentral:rRNA from 1 species
UACGUAGGGUGCGAGCGUUGUCCGGAAUUAUUGGGCGUAAAGAGCUCGUAGGCGGUCUGUCGCGUCGGUCGUGAAAACUUGGGGCUUAACCCUGAGCUUGCGGUCGAUACGGGCAUGACUGGAGUUCGGCAGGGGAGACUGGAAUUCCUGGUGUAGCGGUGAAAUGCGCAGAUAUCAGGAGGAACACCGGUGGCGAAGGCGGGUCUCUGGGCCGGUACUGACGCUGAGGAGCGAAAGCGUGGGGAGCGAACAGG